rnacentral:tRNA from 1 species
ACCAGGAUGGCCCAGUGGUUAAGGUGUUGGACUUAAGCUCUACUGGGAAAAUGCUUGUGUGGGUUUGAAUCCUGCUCCUGGUA